AGAAAGGGCAUGUCCAAAUUGAUAUAGGCAGCUGGGCUUGAAACCCCUACACUUGCACAAAAAAAUAACAAAAAACUCAAACCUCCUCACUCUCUCUCUCUCGACAGUGUCUCCCCAAAACCAACACCUACAGCCAUCACCGCCUACACUUCAAAUCCAUCGGAUCCAAGACCUCUGUUCUACAUCGACACCAAAUCCAUCAGAUCCAAAACCUAGACCUCUUUCCUCUCUCCCUCUUAUCUUCCACAUCUAUACCCCAAAUCCAUCUCUCCGACAACCAAACCGGUUUCCACAUCAACCUAAUCUGCGAGGAGCCUCUCCUGCCUCUAUGAUAACGUCGUCACCGUCCAAACUCUCUUGGCUCAAAUCAAGCCUUCUCUUUCCAACACCGUUGGAGGACCAAGAGGGAGGUCAUCGAGAAGCAGGUCAUCGGGCUCAAAUAUUGGAGGGUCCGAAGAUCAGAAUCGGAGCUCUGGUAGACGACGGAGGUGCAACCUGCUGCGUUGGGAGUAGCGGAGGAGCUCCAGUCAGGAAGGACUUGGUGUUCUAGCCUUUAUCAAUGGACUCCCAGAGGCUCUGGUGCUAGAAGCUACUUGAAUUCAUUGAUUCUCUCAGACGGCCAAAGAGGCUGUUUGUUUUUGUGAAUUUGUUUGGAGGGAGCAAAUCGGCUUCGAAGAUUUUUGUUGAUGAAGUGAAGCCGCUUUUUGAUGAUGCUGGUGUUCAGUUUACACUGCAAGGCAAGUACAGAAAGAAUACCAAAAUUGUUGGAGUAUGGUUCAUGUAUGACUCAUCUAGCCUUCCUUGGCAUUCUUAGGGUCUUAACGAGAUAUCUACUGCAAAAAUUGGUUGGCCCUGGAGUUGCUGGUAUGACCAGUGACAAACAAUGCUUUACGUUGAUCUUCCUUCUAAUAUGGUAUCUCAACCCCCCAACCCACACACACAAAGUUACCCAAGCAAAUGUAGUUGGAUCGUUCUUGAUGGGGUGGUGCGGUGUUGUUUUCAAACCAGAUAUCAUAUAGGUUUACAUAAUUGGAGGUGAUGGAAAUCAGAAAGGAGCAUCUGUGAUAUUUGAGGGAGCAGGAUAGGAUCUUAGUUCAGAGAGCUUGCAAUCCUACAGAAUUAGUGUUUGGAAGCUUCCAAAAGCUAGACUCCAAUGAGGCCAUGAGAGCAGCAAAGCUUGCAAAGCUAGAUUCUUUUAAGUAAAUUUCUGGAUGUACUAGGAGAGUACGAUUAGACGUACUCCUUUUGUGGAUAAAAAAUUACCACAGCACAAUCCAUUUUGGUGCAUGUGGAUUAUAACAAUUUCUUCUAUAUAUUGAUCAGUAACUCUUAAUUUGGUCA